ACCCCACUGCUAUCGGGAUAGGACUAAGACAUGCUAGUCGAGCGCUUUCGAGCCAUGUUGAGAGCGCGGCAUACAGCUCAGUAACACGUGGCUAACCUGCCCUUGGGACGGGAUCACCCCCGGGAAACUGGGGCUAAUCCCCGAUAGGUGAAGAACUCUGGAAUGAGUCUUUGCUCAAAGGGCGCCAGAUCAUGCUUCUGGUGUCGCCCAAGGAUGGGGCCGCGACCGAUCAGGUUGUUGGUGAGGUAAUGGCCCACCAAGCCUAUAACCGGUGCGGGCCGUGAGAGCGGGAGCCCGGAGAUGGGCACUGAGACAAGGGCCCAGGUCCUACGGGGCGCAGCAGUCGCGAAAACUUUGCAAUACACGAAAGUGUGACAGGGUUAUCCCGAGUGCCGACCGCUGAGGUUGGCUUUUACCCAGUCUAGAAAGCUGGGGGAAUAAGGAGAGGGCAAGUCUGGUGUCAGCCGCCGCGGUAAUACCAGCUCUCCGAGUGGUGUGGACGUUUAUUGGGCCUAAAGCAUCCGUAGCUGGCUGAACAAGUCCCCUGUUAAACCCACCGAUUUAAUCGUUGGCGUGCGGGGGAUACUGCUCGGCUAGGGGACGAGAGAGGCAGACGGUAUUCCCGGGGUAGGGGUGAAAUCCUAUAAUCCCGAGAAGACCACCAGUGGCGAAGGCUGUCUGCUAGAACGCGCCCGACGGUGAGGGAUGAAAGCUGGGGGAGCGAACCGGAUUAGAUACCCGGGUAGUCCCAGCUGUAAACGAUGCAGACUAGGUGUUUGGACGGCCACGUGCCGUUCUAGUGCCGCAGGGAAGCUGUUAAGUCUGCCGCCUGGGGAGUACGAUCGCAAGAUUGAAACUUAAAGGAAUUGGCGGGGGAGCACCACAAGGGGUGAAGCUUGCGGUUUAAUUGGAUUCAACGCCGGAAA
rnacentral:rRNA from 1 species